AUUGAACGCUGGCGGCAGGCCUAACACAUGCAAGUCGAACGGUAGCACAGAGAGCUUGCUCUCGGGUGACGAGUGGCGGACGGGUGAGUAAUGUCUGGGAAACUGCCCGAUGGAGGGGGAUAACUACUGGAAACGGUAGCUAAUACCGCAUAACGUCGCAAGACCAAAGUGGGGGACCUUCGGGCCUCACACCAUCGGAUGUGCCCAGAUGGGAUUAGCUAGUAGGUGGGGUAAUGGCUCACCUAGGCGACGAUCCCUAGCUGGUCUGAGAGGAUGACCCGACACACUGGACCUGGGACACGGUCCAGACUCCUACGGGAGGCAGCAGUGGGGAAUAUUGCACAAUGGGCGCAAGCCUGAUGCGGCCAUGCCGCGUGUAUGAAGAAGGCCUUCGGGUUGUAAAGUACUUUCAGCGGGGAGGAAGGCGGUGAAGUUAAUAGCUUCACCGAUUGACGUUACCCGCAGAAGAAGCACCGGCUAACUCCGUGCCAGCCGCCGCCGUAA
rnacentral:rRNA from 1 species